rnacentral:rRNA from 1 species
UGGGGAAUAUUGGGCAAUGGGCGCAAGCCUGACCCAGCAACGCCGCGUGAAGGAAGAAGGCUUUCGGGUUGUAAACUUCUUUUGUCGGGGACGAAACAAAUGACGGUACCCGACGAAUAAGCCACGGCUAACUACGUGCCAGCAGCCGCGGUAAUACGUAGGUGGCAAGCGUUAUCCGGAUUUACUGGGUGUAAAGGGCGUGUAGGCGGGAUUGCAAGUCAGAUGUGAAAACUGGGGGCUCAACCUCCAGCCUGCAUUUGAAACUGUAGUUCUUGAGUGCUGGAGAGGCAAUCGGAAUUCCGUGUGUAGCGGUGAAAUGCGUAUAUAUACGGAGGAACACCAGUGGCGAAGGCGGAUUGCUGGACAGUAACUGACGCUGAGGCGCGAAAGCGUGGGGAGCAAACAGG